ACUCGCCCAAUCAGUCGUUGUUUAGACGGCAACGAACUAACAUGGGUGAAGGUUGUGUUGAGUUUUUUCGUAUAGCACCAACACAAUUUCUUUUUUUUCGUCAAUAAGGCGUUGUCAUGACCCAUAGUAAAAAACUUAAAUGGUGUGACAAUAUAAUACCGUUAGCCGGCUCUCAGCGAAUUUGACAAAAUCAGAGGUUAGGCUGAAGUAACAGGAGUUAUGAAUUGGUUUGUUUGAAAAAACUAAGAAUUUGUUGGUGCGCUAUUUCAACUUUAAAGCCAGUCGUAAGCAACAAAUCUUUAAGCUUUUUAAAGUUUCCAUCGGAUUCGGCUUUGUUGGAAAAGUGGAUUGAGUUCAGCAGGAGGGAAGUUGAAUUCAACUCGAAAACGAGUCUCAAAUGAAAUGAGAUGGAAUUUAAUUUGUGUAAAAAAUAGUUGAUUAAUGAUUUGUGCAUUUAACAUAAAGUGUUAUUGAAAAUGUGUAAUGCUUCUCGCAUGCGUAACGUCUUAAGAAAGGUAGUGUACCCGAGUACUACAUUGCCCAGUCAAUUACUUUAUAUUCUGCAAGUGUCAAAUCCUACAAAUUGCUCAUAGGAAAACGUUUCCACUACCAGGAAAACGCACCCUCAAUGGGUCAGCGAAAAAAAUCGAUGUGACAAAAGGUUUCAUAGAACCUGUUGUUAAAUUACUGGUAGCCUCCACGCAAAUGGAUCUAUCCAAAAACCGUGUGUUUUAAGUUUCGAUGAAAUGACAAGAAGGACAUCAUACUUUUAAGACAUUUCUUCGCACUCAACACUAACAACUGGAAAUUAUGUGCAAGUGGCAUUGCUCAGAGGUCUUGUCUCUAAGUGGAAGCAGCCACUAUUUUAUAAUUUUGAUUGUAAAAUGUCGGAAGAGAUAAUGAAGAGCAUUUUGGAAAGCGGCCAAUAUUGGGGCUAUGCGACCUUAGAGACUCCAACAGAUCACUUUUUAAUGAUCUAAUUGUCUAUAAAGCAAAACAUUUUUCUAAUAGCGGUCGCCCCUCGGCUGGCAAUGGCAAACCUCCGAAUGUAUUUCUGCCAUAAAAAAGCUCCCCCUAAAAAUAUAUGCCAUUCGGAGUCGGCUUGAAACUCCAUUUGUGUAACAACAUCAAGACGCACACCACAAAUAGGAGCUUGGCCAAGCACCCGAAAAGGGUGUACGCGCCAAUUAUAUAUACAUAUAUAUAUGAAGAAAAAUUAUGGUUAAUUUUUAACGAACGAAAAAUUUUCGCGAAUGCUCCCCAAUUACUCAAACUAUUAAGAAACCAUUUCCUGGAUGAGGGACGAAAUAAUUACACAGAUAACGGCUAUGAUGAAAAUUAUAAGGGUGAUUAGUAUACAGAGUUUGUUACACUUCCAAAGAGGUAAUCAAAGUGUUAUAUAGGUUAGGUUAGGUUGACCUAGCUGGCUGAAAGCCAUUAACCUACCUAGACCUAUUUGUCCUUAGUGCUACCAGAUGCGCUUUACUUUUCUUUGUCGUAGACAUCUUGUAAUACGUCUGUGACUUUUGCGAAUCUAAGUAAACUCUGAAGUUUUAACCCCGAGAGGUAUUCUAACUUGAAAUAUUGUAGAGCUUGAUACG